rnacentral:tRNA from 1 species
CACGCCGUAGCGCAGAGGUCGUCGCGCCUUUUCUGACAGAGGGGGAGGACGCCGGUUCGAAUCCGGCCGGCGAUGCC